rnacentral:misc_RNA from 1 species
UAUACAUAUAUAUAUAUAUAUAUACAUAUAUAUAUAUAUAUAUAUAUAUAUCAUCCGCGCGCACCAUUAAUGCGCUACUUUUCCCAGAAACAAUCGAGCUAGCUAGCGCGCCAACCGAUUUGGGAUUUUGCCGAGCAACCGAAACGACCGAAAGAAAACGUCAAGAUAAACUACCCCGUAAUACCGGGAACACGUUCAACCCCCUUCCAAGUAUAUCUUGGUCGACACCACCUCUUCUCUCGUUUCUCUUUUCACGCGCGUCCUGUAUAUAUAUAUGCAUAUGUAUAGAUAUAUGCGUACCGCUCGCGUAUACGUCGGGGUACAUAUAUAUAAAUAUAAUCGAACGUACCCAGAUAUCUAUUUAUAAGUUUACACGAGAGAGCGAGAACAAGAGAUAGAUAGAUAGAGAGAGAGAGAGAGAGAGUAGCAGCGACGAUCGUGACGUUGCUAGCUAAUGCUACUCGUCUAGUGCUACGUUAUCUUUGGGGUGCCGUUUGUGAUGAUGAUGAUGAUGAUGAUGAUGAUGAUGAUGCAGAUGAUGCAGAUGAUGUGGAGGAGGAUGAUGAUGAUGAUGAUGAUGAUGAUGGUGGUGUUGGUGACGACGAUGGUUGUUGUUGUGCGUACGUAAGAAGAAGAAAUUUUUUACAGUGUUGCGGGAGAAACUUCUUUAGCGAAAACCAAAGAAAAAAAAAAAAUAGGGAGAAGGUGCUAGACGAAAGAUAUCUUGACCGUUCCUCUUAUUAUUUAGUUUCUUCUUCGUCCGACAACGCUCUUUUUCCUUGAGAGAAAAAGAGAGAGAAAGAGAGAGAAAGAAAGAGAGGGGAAAACAAAGUGUAUAAUAACGCGAACGAGGUCUCGUUUAAGACGGAUAUGAGGAGCGGAUACGCCCGGUUCACGUGAUACGCACAAGAUUGCUUCUAUCGUCAAAGUUUUUCUCUCUUCCAAAGAUAUGCGGUCAGGGAGGAAGGUUCGUAGGAGCCCAGUGCCGUAGCAUGCCGGCGUGCUGGGUGAGCCGUUGGUGCGCUAUUGAGUCAGCCGUGGUGGUGGUGGUGGUGGUGGUGAAACAGUCCCUUGAGAAGGGUACUCGUCGAAUAAUCAGUAACAGCGGUAGAAGCGUAAAAAGCAUAAGGACCAGAAGCAGGAGCAGGAGCAGGAGGAGGAGUAGAAGAAGAAGAAUAAGGAGCGAUCUCGGCUGGAGGAGCAGCACGGAGCUCGACACUUCGGACCGAUGAGCGCGGGGGGGGAUGGGAGCUCGGCAUUGGUUCCCUCAGGGGUGCCGGGCUCCCAGCCAAUGGCCGCGACCCCUUCGACCGCGACCCCCCCCCACACCGGCGCGGUCCGUUCCUCCGCGAGCCCUGGCCCAGCCGGUGCCCCCGGUCCUCCCACCGGUCCACCGACCGGGCCCCCCCCGACCGCCGGUGCUGCUGCUCCCAAGGCCGCGGCCAAAAGGCCCGCCCGUCGCGCUGGCAAACCACCGCCCGACAGGCCUACCAGGGCCCUAUUUUGUCUACCCCUUAAAAAUCCCCUUAGAAAACUCUGCAUCGGUGUCGUCGAAUGGAAACCCUUCGAAUGGCUCAUCUUGAUGACGAUAUUUGCAAAUUGCAUUGCUUUGGCCUUCUACACGCCGUAUCCAUUUGGUGAUUCCAAUCAGACCAACCAAUAUUUGGAAAAAAUAGAAUACGUAUUUCUCGUGAUAUUUACGGCCGAGUGCAUAAUGAAGAUCAUAGCUUAUGGAUUCGUCGCCCAUCCGGGUGCAUAUCUAAGAAACGGCUGGAACGUGCUUGAUUUUACGAUAGUCGUCAUAGGAAUGAUGAGUACCGUAUUAGCGAUGCUUAUGAAAGAAGGAUUCGAUGUUAAAGCGUUGAGAGCUUUUCGAGUUUUACGACCUCUCAGGCUGGUUUCCGGUGUACCAAGUCUUCAGGUGGUCCUAAACUCCAUUUUAAGAGCGAUGAUCCCGCUCUUGCACAUCGCAUUGUUGGUACUCUUCGUCAUCAUCAUUUACGCUAUCAUUGGCCUUGAAUUAUUUUCUGGAAAGAUGCACAAGACUUGUAGGCACAACGUAACUGAUGAGGUUAUGAGCGAUCCAGUUCCCUGUGGUCCUAUGGGUUUUCAGUGUAGCAACGUUGGUCCCGACUAUCACUGCAGCAAUCAAUUUUGGGAAGGUCCGAACGAUGGCAUCACCAAUUUCGAUAAUUUUGGUUUAGCCAUGCUCACAGUCUUUCAAUGCAUCACCCUCGAGGGCUGGACCGAGGUACUUUACAAUAUAGAAGAUGCGAUGGGAAGUUCUUGGCAAUGGAUUUAUUUUAUUUCUAUGGUCAUACUUGGUGCAUUCUUCGUGAUGAAUUUAAUUCUCGGUGUGUUGUCCGGGGAGUUCUCUAAGGAAAGAGAAAAGGCCAAGGCUCGUGGUGAUUUUCACAAGUUAAGAGAAAAACAACAGAUAGAGGAUGAUCUUCGAGGAUAUCUCGAUUGGAUAACACAAGCUGAAGAUAUCGAACCGGAAGCCGACGAGCCAAAAAAUCAAGACGAAAAAUCUAAACAACAAAACGAAAUGGAGAGUACCGAUCAAUUGGAAGGUGACGAGGAGUUCAAAGGUGUUCAACAGGAACCCGUAUGGAAAAGAAAGAAACGAGAUUUAGAUAGGGUUAAUCGACGAUUGAGACGAGCCUGUAGAAAAGCUGUCAAAUCGCAAGCCUUUUAUUGGCUCAUCAUAGUGCUCGUUUUUUUAAACACCGUAGUUCUCGCGACCGAGCAUUACAAUCAACCGCAUUGGUUGGACGAGUUUCAAGAGAUCACCAACAUGUUUUUCAUCGCUCUGUUCUCCAUGGAGAUGAUCCUGAAGAUGUACAGUUUAGGAUUUCAGGGUUACUUCGUCUCUUUGUUCAAUCGUUUCGAUUGUUUCGUCGUAAUAGGCUCGAUAACCGAGAUGAUCCUUACGAACACAAAUGUAAUGCCACCACUCGGAGUUUCCGUGUUACGUUGCGUAAGAUUGUUGAGAGUAUUCAAAGUAACCAAAUAUUGGAGAUCGCUCUCGAACUUGGUGGCUUCUUUGUUGAAUUCGAUUCAAUCAAUCGCCUCGCUUUUACUUCUGCUCUUCCUUUUUAUCGUCAUUUUCGCGCUCUUAGGAAUGCAGGUAUUCGGGGGAAAGUUUAAUUUCGCCGAUCUCCAGGACAAACCUCGGCACAAUUUCGAUAGUUUUUGGCAAAGUUUGCUCACCGUUUUUCAAAUAUUAACAGGUGAGGACUGGAAUGCAGUAAUGUAUGUUGGAAUUCGUGCUUAUGGGGGUGUUUCUAGUCCCGGUGUUAUAGCCUGCACUUAUUUCAUCGUUCUUUUCAUAUGCGGUAACUAUAUACUUCUGAACGUUUUCUUGGCCAUCGCUGUGGACAAUCUUGCAGAUGCCGAAUCGUUAACGGCCAUUGAAAAGGAAGCCGAAGAGGAGGCGGAGAAAAAUAAAUCUCACAGCGGUUCGCCAGUAAGAGACAAGAUCAGCGGUGAACAUGGGGAUGAUGGUGAAACCGGUGGGGAAGAGGACGAGGGUGGUGUUACCGAUAUGGAACAAGAUCCUAAUGAAACAAUAGAGGAUUACGAAGCUGCUUUGGAUACGGAAACAUCGGAGAAGAGCGAGGAUGGGAACACCCAUAAAGUACGUUUAAAUAUCGAAUCGGAUGAGGAAGCGGAAGAAGAAGAAGAAGAAGAAGAAGAAGCCGAACAAAAUGAGAUACACGACGAAGGACAAGAGGUAUCGGCCAGGCCACGAAGAAUGUCAGAGUACAAUACCGCUACGAAAAAACAACCAAUCCCGCCUGGUUCAUCCUUCUUUCUUUUUUCACAGACCAACAGGUUUCGAGUUUUUUGUCAUUGGCUUUGUAACCAUAGCUACUUUGGUAAUGUGAUCUUAGCCUGCAUCAUGAUAUCCUCGGCCAUGUUGGCUGCCGAGGAUCCAUUAAGUUCAACUUCGUACAGAAAUAAGAUCCUGAAUUACUUCGAUUAUUUCUUUACUAGCGUUUUCACGAUCGAGAUCUGCCUGAAAAUGAUAUCGUACGGGUUCGUUAUUCACGACGGUGCAUUCUGCAGAUCGGCGUUCAACCUACUCGAUCUUCUCGUCGUUUGCGUUUCUCUCGUUUCCAUAUUUUGGAGUUCUGGUGCAAUAUCGGUGGUCAAGAUAUUAAGGGUGUUACGGGUUUUGAGACCGUUGCGUGCCAUCAAUCGUGCAAAGGGAUUAAAGCACGUAGUACAAUGCGUCAUCGUAGCUGUAAAGACUAUCGGAAACAUAGUCCUCGUCACCAGCCUCCUGCAGUUCGUGUUCGCCGUGAUAGGCGUACAACUUUUCAAGGGCAAAUUUUUCUAUUGUAACGAUGCUUCAAAAAUGACGAAGGAAGAAUGCCAGGGUACUUAUCUGGAAUACGAAAAUGGCAAUAUCAAUAGACCUGUCGUGAAAGAAAGAGAAUGGGAACAUCGUCGUUUCCACUUUGAUGAUGUUGCCAAGGCGAUGCUGACCCUCUUUACGGUUUCAACAUUCGAAGGCUGGCCAGGGUUGUUGAAUUGGUCGAUCGAUUCAAACAAGGAAGAUCACGGACCGAUUCAUAAUUUUCGGCCGAUCGUUGCAGCCUACUACAUUAUCUACAUCAUCAUCAUUGCAUUUUUCAUGGUUAAUAUCUUCGUGGGUUUCGUCAUUGUCACCUUUCAAAACGAGGGUGAACAGGAAUAUAAAAAUUGCGAGCUAGAUAAAAAUCAGCGGAAUUGCAUCGAGUUCGCGUUAAAAGCGAAACCAGUUCGACGAUAUAUACCAAAGCAUCGAAUACAAUACAAAGUUUGGUGGUUCGUCACUUCUCAACCAUUCGAAUAUACGAUAUUCACCCUGAUCAUGAUAAACACCGUAACGCUAGCGAUGAAGUUCUAUCAGCAACCGACGUUAUACACAGAAGUUCUCGAUGUACUCAAUAUGAUUUUCACCGCAGUGUUCGCCCUAGAGUUUGUCUUCAAACUUGCAGCUUUUCGAUUCAAGAAUUACUUUGGCGAUGCUUGGAACGUUUUUGAUUUCAUUAUCGUUCUCGGAAGUUUCAUCGACAUCGUAUACUCGGAAGUUAACCCUGGCUCAACUAUCAUUUCAAUUAAUUUCUUUCGACUAUUUCGAGUGAUGCGUCUCGUAAAAUUACUGAGCAGAGGAGAGGGUAUAAGAACGUUACUCUGGACCUUUAUUAAAUCCUUCCAAGCUUUACCUUACGUAGCCCUUCUCAUCAUUAUGCUUUUUUUCAUCUACGCUGUAAUAGGCAUGCAGGUUUUUGGAAAGAUUGCUAUAAACGCUGAAACUUCGAUAUAUCGUAAUAAUAAUUUUCAGUCGUUUCCUCAAGCAGUCCUUGUUUUGUUCAGAUCUGCUACAGGUGAAUCUUGGCAAGAUAUAAUGAUGGAUUGUUCCGCACAACCAGGCAAAGUAAUGUGCGAUCCAAAUAGCGACGAAUACAAUAAUCCAUCUGGUUGUGGAUCGGAUAUAGCAUUUCCUUACUUCAUAUCAUUCUACGUUCUCUGUUCCUUUUUAAUCAUCAAUUUAUUCGUUGCCGUUAUUAUGGAUAAUUUUGAUUAUUUGACGAGAGAUUGGUCGAUAUUGGGGCCACAUCAUCUCGACGAGUUUAUUCGUUUAUGGUCCGAAUAUGAUCCUGACGCUAAAGGCCGUAUCAAACAUUUAGACGUGGUGACUUUGUUAAGAAAAAUCUCACCACCCUUGGGUUUCGGUAAACUUUGUCCCCACAGAGUCGCUUGCAAGAGGCUGGUCUCGAUGAACAUGCCAUUGAACAGUGACGGUACUGUUCUAUUCAACGCGACCCUAUUCGCUGUGGUAAGAACAUCAUUGAGAAUUAAAACCGAAGGAAAUAUCGAUGACGCGAAUGCCGAGCUUAGAGCUGUCAUCAAAAAAAUUUGGAAGAGAACCAGUCCGAAACUUUUAGAUCAAGUUGUACCACCGCCCGGAGUCGACGACGAGGUAACGGUCGGCAAAUUUUAUGCAACUUUCCUCAUCCAGGAUUACUUUCGUAGAUUUAAGAAACGCAAAGAACAAGAAAUGAGAGAAGGAGACAAAGAAUGUCAUAAUACGGUAACGCUACAGGCUGGCUUGAGAACUUUGCACGAAGCAGGUCCCGAAUUGAAAAGAGCGAUCUCUGGUAAUUUGGAAGAACUUAUGGAUGACAAUCCGGAACCUACACACAGGAGAAAUCAUUCGUUGUUUGGUAGCGUUUGGUCGAGCAUGCGCAAAGGACAUCACAGCUUCCAUAGAGCGAGAUCGCUCAAAAUGAACUCCAAGGCUUCCCCAUCGAAUUCCAUAGACUUUUUGGCGUAUCCAUCAUUGCAAAGGGGUGUCGGACCAGACGCUCCGAAUCAAAUCACUGCGAGAUCUCAUCAAGUCGUGCCAAACGUAGCCGGUGGUCUAAGCGAUAGCGCAAUGAAUCAAAUGGGAAUGGAUCCUAGAUUAACGGGGGUCGAAGAAAAUAUUCCAUUGAGACCUCUUGCCGUAUUUGGCAACACCACGCAACGUUCAACCUAUCAUAGUUCUUACAAAAUGGUCGGUUCCAUCCUGGGCUGGGGAGAGCAACGGAAGCGUCGGAGCAGAACGGCUUACCCAUAGUUUACCUGGCAGUCCUGCCGACCGAAAGCCGAAUUUUGAAGUUAUCGGAAGCGCCGAGAGUUUGGUAGGACGGGUACUCGUUGAACAGGGAUUGGGUAAAUAUUGCGACCCAGAAUUCGUGAGGUACACGUCUCGCGAGAUGCAAGAGGCUUUGGAUAUGACGCGGGAGGAGAUGGAUCGAGCGGCUCAUCAGUUGCUCUUGGAGGAAAGAC